GCUGCGGUUGACCUCACACCCCAACCACCACCCUCUCCCCUUUAUGAAUUUUGCUCCAUCCCAUUGCAGCUCCGUGAUUAUUAUUUUGUGUGUCACAUGGCCCGGGGAUUUUGUAUAAGCAGUACACAUUAGUGUUGUUAGCAAGUGCAUCAGCGCGACUCUCACGCUGCCGUGGAAUCACGUCUGGCGCGCUGGUCUGGCGAGCCAGAAUGUCGCCGGUUCGUUUCGGCCUCCCGGCGCGGCAGUUUGAGUCGGCACUGUGCACCGCAGUUCGGUGACUUGCCAGGUCGCGGCAGCUGAUGCAAUGCUGCAGGCUUCUUGAAUCUCACCCCGGGGCCUUUGCCCAGACAGGCAGUACAAAUGGGUUCAACCAAAUGUUGGAUGAUCAGCCAGUCGUGUGCGGUAGGGUAGAGCGUUGGUGAUCCCACCUCUUCCAAGCCGUCUGACCAGCGUGGGCGAGUAGGCCAAACACCCUUCACUCGAGGAAACUGUAGACAGCCCACUCGAGGCCCUUCCACCAGCAGAUGUGUGAGCAGCUGUCGCCUCAUUCGGGGCACCACCGCCCUUGCUCGCCGUCAAGUCGAGCACAUCGAAGGCGCUCGAAGUUCGCCCAAGUGCACGCCACCCUUUGUAACUUGCAUCGCAAUCUGCUCCUUCCACGACCCCCACACACGCGUGGGGUGAAGGCGCAGCCCUGGAAUUGCUCACUGACGCCACUGCCGG